GAUGAACGCUGGCGGCGUGCCUAAUACAUGCAAGUCGAGCGAACGGACGAGAAGCUUGCUUCUCUGAUGUUAGCGGCGGACGGGUGAGUAACACGUGGAUAACCUACCUAUAAGACUGGGAUAACUUCGGGAAACCGUAGCUAAUACCGGAUAAUAUUUUGAACCGCAUGGUUCAAAAGUGAAAGACGGUCUUGCUGUCACUUAUAGAUGGAUCCGCGCUGCAUUAGCUAGUUGGUAAGGUAACGGCUUACCAAGGCAACGAUGCAUAGCCGACCUGAGAGGGUGAUCGGCCACACUGGAACUGAGACACGGUCCAGACUCCUACGGGAGGCAGCAGUAGGGAAUCUUCCGCAAUGGGCGAAAGCCUGACGGAGCAACGCCGCGUGAGUGAUGAAGGUCUUCGGAUCGUAAAACUCUGUUAUUAGGGAAGAACAGAUGUGUAAGUAACUGUGCACAUCUUGACGGUACCUAAUCAGAAAGCCACGGCUAACUACGU
rnacentral:rRNA from 1 species